GUUCCUACGGGGGGCAGCAGUGAGGAAUAUUGGUCAAUGGGCGGGAGCCUGAACCAGCCAAGCCGCGUGAGGGAAGAAGGUACAGCGUAUCGUAAACCUCUUUUGUCAGGGAACAAAGGCGGGGACUAGUCCCCGGACGAGGGUACCUGAAGAAAAAGCAUCAGCUAACUCCGUGCCAGCAGCCGCGGUAAUACGGAGGAUGCGAGCGUUAUCCGGAUUUAUUGGGUUUAAAGGGUGCGUAGGCGGAUCGUUAAGUCAGUGGUCAAAUUGAGGGGCUCAACCCCUUCCCGCCAUUGAAACUGGCC
rnacentral:rRNA from 1 species